rnacentral:lncRNA from 10 species
ACUGAAUAGUGAGGCUCUCCAGGAAAGAGAGUGGGGGUGAAGGAGAAGGCUGACAGCCUAAACAUCAACAGCUGUGAAUGGCAAAUGGUGACAAUAUGAUCAGAGCUGUGUGCUCUGGAAACACUGAUUUGCUGGGAACACAUAGAAUGGGGGCAGAAUAUUAGGAGAAUGAAGACCUUAUGAGGCUAUUUCAAUAGUUCUCAGAGGUAACUACACAACCACCCCAAACAUAGGAGAGGAAACUGAAAGGAGGCACUAAUUCCAGAGAUAUCAAAAAGACUUUCUUCACAGGCCAUGGUUAACAG